rnacentral:tRNA from 1 species
GGGCGGAUAGCUCAGCUGGGAGAGCGCCACGUUUACACCGUGGAUGUCACAGGUUCAAGCCCUGUUCCGCCUACCA